GUGGGGAAUUUUGGACAAUGGGGGCAACCCUGAUCCAGCCAUGCCGCGUGAGUGAUGAAGGCCUUAGGGUUGUAAAGCUCUUUCAGUGGGGAAGAUAAUGACGGUACCCACAGAAGAAGCCCCGGCUAACUUCGUGCCAGCAGCCGCGGUAAUACGAAGGGGGCUAGCGUUGUUCGGAUUUACUGGGCGUAAAGCGCACGUAGGCGGAUCGUUAAGUCGGGGGUGAAAUCCCGGGGCUCAACCCCGGAACUGCCUUCGAUACUGGCGAUCUUGAGUCCGGAAGAGGUGAGUGGAACUCCUAGUGUAGAGGUGGAAUUCGUAGAUAUUAGGAAGAACACCAGUGGCGAAGGUGGCUCACUGGUCCGGUACUGACGCUGAGGUGCGAAAGCGUGGGGAGCAAACAGGAUUAGAAACCCUUGUAGUCC
rnacentral:rRNA from 1 species